AGGGAGGCAGCAGUGGGGAAUUUUGGACAAUGGGGGGAACCCUGAUCCAGCCAUGCCGCGUGCGGCCCGAAGGCCUUCGGGUUGUAAACCGCUUUUGGUCGGAAAGAAAAGGCGCACCCUAAUACGGGGCGUUCUUGACGGUACCGGCAGAAUAAGCACCGGCUAACUACGUGCCAGCAGCCGCGGUAAUACGUAGGGUGCGAGCGUUAAUCGGAAUUACUGGGCGUAAAGCGUGCGCAGGCGGUUCUCCAAGUCCGUUGUGAAAGCCCCGGGCUCAACCUGGGAAUGGCAGUGGAAACUAGGGGACUUGAAUCUGGCAGAGGGGGGUGGAAUUCCACGUGUAGCAGUGAAAUGCGUAGAGAUGUGGAGGAACACCGAUGGCGAAGGCAGCCCCCUGGGCUGAGAUUGACGCUCAGGCACGAAAGCGUGGGGAGCAAACAGGAUUAGAUACCCUGGUAGUCCACGCCCUAAACGAUGUCAACUAGGUGUUGGGGAAGCGAUUUCUCAGUACCGCAGCUAACGCGUGAAGUUGACCGCCUGGGGAGUACGGUCGCAAGAUUAAAACUCAAAGGAAUUGACGGGGACCCGCACAAGCGGUGGAUGAUGUGGAUUAAUUCGAUGCAACGCGAAUAACCUUACCUACCCUUGACAUGUACCGAAGCCCUCACAGAUGGGG
rnacentral:rRNA from 1 species